UCGAACACUUUGAGAUUAGAUGCAGAUCAGCGUGCAGGGCUGGACGUGAGGAUGGGGCACUCUUUGCUCUGUUUGCUGGGGUUAUUCUUGCUCAGUACAGUCAUCCAUGGAAACACUGAAGUUCCCAGUAAGCCCACUGUGACCCUGCAGCCAUCCUGGACUCAGAUAUAC